rnacentral:rRNA from 1 species
UACGGAGGGGGCUAGCGUUGUUCGGAAUUACUGGGCGUAAAGCGCACGUAGGCGGCUUUGUAAGUUAGAGGUGAAAGCCCGGAGCUCAACUCCGGAAUUGCCUUUAAGACUGCAUCGCUUGAAUCAUGGAGAGGUUAGUGGAAUUCCGAGUGUAGAGGUGAAAUUCGUAGAUAUUCGGAAGAACACCAGUGGCGAAGGCGACUAACUGGACAUGUAUUGACGCUGAGGUGCGAAAGCGUGGGGAGCAAACAGG